AUUGAACGCUGGCGGCAGGCUUAACACAUGCAAGUCGAGCGAGCGGCGGACGGGUGAGUAAUGUCUGGGAAACUGCCUGAUGGAGGGGGAUAACUACUGGAAACGGUAGCUAAUACCGCAUACCAUCAGAUGUGCCCAGAUGGGAUUAGCUAGUAGGUGGGGUAAUGUCUCACCUAGGCGACGAUCCCUAGCUGGUCUGAGAGGAUGUCGACCCACCGUGGAACGGAGACACGGUCCAGACUCCUACGGGAGGAAGCAGUGGGGAAUAUUGGACAAUGGGCGAAAGCCGGAGACAGCCAUGCCGCGUGUGUGAAGAAGGCCUUCGGGUUGUAAAGCACUUUCAGCGAGGAGGCGUUACUCGCAGAAGAAGCACCGGCUAACUCCGUGCCAGCCGCCGCGGUAAUAC
rnacentral:rRNA from 1 species